UAAGGAAUAUUGGUCAAUGGACGCAAGUCUGAACCAGCCAUGCCGCGUGAAGGAUGAAGGUCCUCUGGAUUGUAAACUUCCUUUAUCUGGGACGAAAACGGGAUUUUUAUCUCAAUUGACGGUACCAGAGGAAUAAGCACCGGCUAACUCCGUGCCAGCAGCCGCGGUAAUACAGAGGGUGCGAGCGUUAUCCGGAUUUACUGGGUUUAAAGGGUGCGUAGGUGGGCUUAUAAGUCAGUGGUGAAAUCUCCGAGCUUAACUUGGAAACUGCCGUUGAUACUAUAGGUCUUGAAUUAUCUGGAGGUAAGCGGAAUAUGUCAUGUAGCGGUGAAAUGCUUAGAUAUGACAUAGAACACCAAUUGCGAAGGCAGCUUACUACAUAUAAAUUGACGCUGAGGCACGAAAGCGUGGGGAUCAAACA
rnacentral:rRNA from 1 species